rnacentral:rRNA from 1 species
AUUGAACGCUGGCGGCAGGCCUAACACAUGCAAGUCGAGCGGAUGAAGGGAGCUUGCUCCUGGAUUCAGCGGCGGACGGGUGAGUAAUGCCUAGGAAUCUGCCUGGUAGUGGGGGAUAACGUCCGGAAACGGGCGCUAAUACCGCAUACGUCCUGAGGGAGAAAGUGGGGGAUCUUCGGACCCCACGCUAUCAGAUGAGCCUAGGUCGGAUUAGCUAGUUGGUGGGGUAAAGGCCUACCAAGGCGACGAUCCGUAACUGGUCUGAGAGGAUGAUCAGUCACACUGGAACUGAGACACGGUCCAGACUCCUACGGGAGGCAGCAGUGGGGAAUAUUGGACAAUGGGCGAAAGCCUGAUCCAGCCAUGCCGCGUGUGUGAAGAAGGUCUUUGGAUUGUAAAGCACUUUAAGUUGGGAGGAAGGGCAGUAAGUUAAUACCUUGCUGUUUUGACGUUACCAACAGAAUAAGCACCGGCUAACUUCGUG